rnacentral:rRNA from 1 species
GACAGAGGGUGCGAACGUUGUUCGGAAUUACUGGGCGUAAAGCGCGUGUAGGCUGUUCGGAAAGUCGGGUGUGAAAGCCCUGGGCUCAACCUAGGAAGUGCACUCGAAACUCCCGAACUGGAGUCCCGGAGAGGAAGGUGGAAUUCUCGGUGUAGAGGUGAAAUUCGUAGAUAUCGGGAGGAACACCGGUGGCGAAGGCGGCGACCUGGGUAGAUACUGACGCUGAGACGCGAAAGCGUGGGGAGCGAACAGG